GGUAAACUAAUUUCAUCAAGAUCAUCUAGCGAUAGAAAAACUUCAUCCAAGCAUGAUAGCUCCGGUCCAUUAUUAUCAUCAUCAUUAUCAUAAUUGUGUUCGUAUACACGACAUAUUACCCAUCCACUAUAGUCAAUUUUGGAACGGGUUCUUCUUUUAGAAGAUGAACGACUACUUCCAGAAGAAGAUUCAGAAUUAAGACUAAAUUCUUGCAUUACCCAAUUUGUUUUGACACCUUCUGGUAGCUCACCUAGAUAAAAAGCAUAAUAUUUCUUCAUACCAACAAUAUUAUUAUUAUUAUUAUUGUGACCUGUUGAAAAUAUUGGUUCAUCAACUCCUAAUGAUUUCCAAUAUCCAUUUUCAGUGAUUCUACUCUGUGUUCUCCUGCUAUAGAAAUACCAUUUAUUUCCUUCUACCAUUGCUUUUCCAUCUAAGUCCCAAGGAUCAUAAGGGUAAAGAUUAAGAUCAGGAAUGACAUCAGGAUGGCAAGGUAAAAGAGCAGCUUUGCGUUGAAGAAAAUGAACAACUAAUUCUUCAUCUGUCGGGUAAAAUCGAAAUCCAGGUGGCAACUUCACAUUACUAUCUCCCAUUUAAUUUGAAAAAAUGAAUGAUAUACUAUUUAAUAUGUAUUUUUUUUGGUAGAGUAGAAGGGGAUAUGGAGGAACUCAGAUAUUUAUACACAAAGAUAUAUAAUGGAGAGUGUGUUUAAUUUUAGGGAAUCAUCAUAACCAUACUGUGUUUUGCUUCAAACAAGGUUUUGCUUUAUUUUUUUAACAAACAAAAAACAAUAGUAAUAAGUA
rnacentral:misc_RNA from 1 species